AAUCAACGCUGGCGGCGUGCCUCAGACAUGCAAGUCGAACGAUUAAAGCUCUCUUCGGAGAGUGUAUAGAGUGGCGCACGGGUGAGUAACACGUAAGUAAUCUACCUUUGAGUGGGGAAUAACAGUCGGAAACGACUGCUAAUACCGCAUAAUGCAGCGGCAUCGCAAGAUGACAGUUGUUAAAGAUUUAUCGCUUGAAGAGGAGCUUGCGGCAGAUUAGCUAGUUGGUAAGGUAAUGGCUUACCAAGGCUACGAUCUGUAACCGGUCUAAGAGGACGGUCGGUCACACUGACACUGAACAACGGGUCAGACUCCUACGGGAGGCAGCAGUCGGGAAUUUUGGGCAAUGGGCGAAAGCCUGACCCAGCAACGCCGCGUGAAGGAUGAAGUAUUUCGGUAUGUAAACUUCGAAAGAAUGGGAAGAAUAAAUGACGGUACCAUUUAUAAGGUCCGGCUAACUACGUGCCAGCAGCCGCGGUAAUUGA
rnacentral:rRNA from 1 species